rnacentral:rRNA from 1 species
GACGAACGCUGGCGGCGUGCUUAACACAUGCAAGUCGAACGGAAAGGCCCUGCUUUUGUGGGGUGCUCGAGUGGCGAAAGGGUGAGUAACACGUGAGUAACCUGCCCUUGACUUUGGGAUAACUUCAGGAAACUGGGGCUAAUACCGGAUAGGAGCUCCUGCUGCAUGGUGGGGGUUGGAAAGUUUCGGCGGUUGGGGAUGGACUCGCGGCUUAUCAGCUUGUUGGUGGGGUAGUGGCUUACCAAGGCAUUGACGGGUAGCCGGCCUGAGAGGGUGACCGGCCACAUUGGGACUGAGAUACGGCCCAGACUCCUACGGGAGGCAGCAGUGGGGAAUAGUGCACAAUGGGCGGAAGCCUGAUGCAGCAACGCCGCGUGCGGGAUGACGGCCUUCGGGUUGCAAACCGCUUUCGCCUGUGACGAAGCGUGAGUGACGGUAAUGGGUAAAGAAGCACCGGCUAACUACGUG